rnacentral:rRNA from 1 species
AUGUGGAAGGGCAGUCAGCUAUCUGUUUUGUGCAGUUCUCUUGUCAACUUCAUGCUCAAAAUGCAGAACAAAUGUUCAGAUUCAGUCCACAAAAUGUUCAACCGAAGCUACAAUAUUUUGCCUGCGAUUGUCGAGCAGUACGUGUGUGGUCCGAACUACUCAAAACUGAGCUCUCUGAUAAAAUUUGGAACUUGUCCGAGCAUCGCAUUCUGGAUCAUGCUACUAUUAUCUUCUCUUUUGUGCUAUCGAGUUGUUUGGGUCUCACUGGAGCAUCUACCAGCUGUUAGCACCUUGGGACCCUGGAGGGAUUGCAUUGUGGCUGUUAUUGAAAUGGACUCGACAAACGGUUUUUCAAGGCGGGCAGGGUGUCGGCUUUCCGCCAGGCUCCGACUUCGGCAACUACAACGACGCCGCCGCCUUCGGCUUCCUUUGCCAGGCGUACUUUGCCGCGACCCCGUCGAUUCCCCGCUCCACGACGAAGGGCCCAACUCCCAAGCUGAUCGCCAAGUGGGUUCUGUUCCAGCAGCCCGCUUGCUCAGCCUCGGCCUGCCCAACUACGGCCGCCUCGCCGACUUCUUCCGCGAUGCCGGCAAGGCGGUGAUCGACGAGGGCGAGCGGCUGGGCAUCGCGCGGGAGGAGGCGGAUCCUGUUCCUGUUGCUGCUGAAGUGGCCGGGCCGCGCGCACCCGGCCGCCUCGCGAUGGAGGUGCGCGCCACCGUGCGCGCCAACGGCGGCGAGGUGACGAUUCAGGCGCUGGCCGAGAUGCCGCUGGUGAAGUCGGCCGUGUACAAGGCGCUGCGGAUCGAGCCGCCGGUGGCGCGCGAGCGCGAAGCUGGACAUGGUGGUGGAGAGCCAUGA